AGAGUUUGAUCAUGGCUCAGGAUGAACGCUAGCGGCGGGCUAAUACAUGCAAGUCGAACGGAACUACUGAUUUCGGUUGGUAGUUUAGUGGCGCACGGGUGAGUAACGCGUACACAACGUACCUAUUACCGGGGAAUAGCCUUUGGAAACGAGGAGUAAUACCCAUAGUAUGUUUGGAAGGCAUCUUCUGAAUAUUAAAGUUACGGCGGUAAUAGAUCGGUGUGCGUAAGAUUAGCUAGUUGGUGAGGUAACGGCUCACCAAGGCGACGAUCUUUAGGGGGCGUGAGAGCGUGAUCCCCACACGGGUACUGAGACACGGACCCGACUCCUACGGGAGGCAGCAGUAAGGAAUAUCGGUCAAUGGAGGCAACUCUGAACCAGCCACGCCGCGUGGACGAUGAAGGCCCUCUGGGUUGUAAAGUUCUUUAGUCUGGGACGAAAAAAGGAGAUUUAUCUUCGACUGACGGUACCAGAAGAAUAAGCACCGGCUAACUCCGUG
rnacentral:rRNA from 1 species